UGAACGCUGGCGGCGUGCUUAACACAUGCAAGUCGAACGGUGAAAGAGGAGCUUGCUCCUCUGGAUCAGUGGCGAACGGGUGAGUAACACGUGAGUAACCUGCCCCAGACUCUGGGAUAAGCACUGGAAACGGUGUCUAAUACCGGAUACGAGCUUCAGCCGCAUGGCUAGGAGCUGGAAAGAAUUUCGGUCUGGGAUGGACUCGCGGCCUAUCAGCUAGUUGGUGAGGUAAUGGCUCACCAAGGCGACGACGGGUAGCCGGCCUGAGAGGGUGACCGGCCACACUGGGACUGAGACACGGCCCAGACUCCUACGGGAGGCAGCAGUGGGGAAUAUUGCACAAUGGGCGCAAGCCUGAUGCAGCAACGCCGCGUGAGGGACGACGGCCUUCGGGUUGUAAACCUCUUUUAGUAGGGAAGAAGCGAAAGUGACGGUACCUGCAGAAAAAGCACCGGCUAACUACGU
rnacentral:rRNA from 1 species